GGAGAAAAGGAGGAAGAGACCACCAUGAGCUACCAUUUAAGAUAUCGGCUUGGAGGCUCAUGAUCACAAAAUGGUUGCUGCAUCUCCAGAUAUUACAUCUAUAUUCAAGGCGGGAAAGAGACUGUUCCACCUGUGGAGACAACGCCUACAUCGUACAGGGCUUGGUGGAAAACAGAUCUCAGAGUAGCCAGAAUGUUGAGCGACCGGAAGGUUUCAAGGCGUCGUGCCCCCUCUGGUGGCCUUGCUGGAAACUGCAACACCAACAUCCACAGCACCCCCUGCCCCAGCCUGCUCCCCUGAACAAUGGAAAUUGACCUUGGGAACACACAGCUGAACUUUUAUUCCAGCUGAAUGAAAG
ensembl:lncRNA